GUCCACGCUGUAAACGAUGAGUGCUAGACGUUGGGGACCUAGUUUCCCAGUGUCGCAGCUAACGCAUUAAGCACUCCGCCUGGGGAGUACGGCCGCAAGGUUAAAACUCAAAGGAAUUGACGGGGCCCGCACAAGCGGUGGAGCAUGUGGUUCAAUUCGAAGCAACGCGAAGAACCUUACCAGCCCUUGACAUGGGUGACGGGAUUCAGAGAUGAAUCCCUUCUCGCAAGAGACCACUACACAGGUGCUGCAUGGCUGUCGU
rnacentral:rRNA from 1 species